rnacentral:rRNA from 1 species
AUACGUAGGGAGCAAGCGUUGUCCGGAAUUACUGGGCGUAAAGGGUGCGUAGGUGGCUUGGCAAGUCAGAUGUGAAAUCCCCGGGCUUAACUCGGGGGGUGCAUUUGAAACUGCUUGGCUUGAGUGCAGGAGAGGAAAGCGGAAUUCCUAGUGUAGCGGUGAAAUGCGUAGAUAUUAGGAGGAACACCAGUGGCGAAGGCGGCUUUCUGGACUGUAACUGACACUGAGGCACGAAAGCGUGGGGAGC